rnacentral:rRNA from 1 species
GACGAACGCUGGCGGCGUGCCUAAUACAUGCAAGUAGAACGCAGUUGCGAACGGGUGAGUAACGCGUAGGUAACUGCCUCAUAGCGGGGGAUAACUAUUGGAAACGAUAGCUAAUACCCCAUACUGUGAGAUGGACCUGCUUUGUAUGAGCUAGGUUGUGAGGUAAAGGCUCACCAAGGCGCCGAUACAUACCCGCCCUGGGAGGGUGAGCUGCAACGCUGGGACUGGGACAAGGCACCGACUGCUACGGGUGGGAGCAGUAGGGAAUCUUCGGAAAUGGACGGAAGUCUGACCGAGCAACGCUGCGUGAGUGAAGGAGGUUUUCAGAUCGUAAAACUUUGUUGUGAGAGAAGCGGUAACUAACCAGAAAGGGACGGCUAACUACGUGCCAGCCGCCGCGGUAAUUC